AGAAGUUAUAUUGUGAAAAUACUGUAACUGUUUUGUGAAAAAAAAUAUGCCUUCAACGGUAUUCAAGUGUUAUGUUAUGCUUACAGUGCUAGGUAUCUGUAUGACAUUGGUCGAUAAGUCACAGCAAAGUCCAGGACUAGGUGAUUGCUUUGGUGACGAUGAUGGGAAAAACUGUGAAAAAACAAGAAAGAAAGAAGAGA